rfam:Pseudomonas fluorescens ABAC62 scaffold240_001, whole genome shotgun sequence.
GGGUUUAACUCCUGCUUGUUACCGUUUCAUCUGGCCGGAGCCGAAUGUCGUUUUGGUGUCUGAUUCGGUAAGGAACCGGGAGCACCAUCUGCGUAGGCUUGUGGUUUAAGACUUGCGCCGCCUACGGUCUUGGAUAGCCCCCGCCAGGCAGGGACCCCAAUUUUUUCCAAUUGGCGCAAUAACUUGCGCCA